GCCUGACUAGCGUAACGCAAUAAGAGCUUAAGAGCAGAGACCGGACUCGUCUCUGCACCUGUGCUAUUUAACAGAGAAUCUGCGCCCCCUUGUGGAGAACCUAGCAAACUACAUGCAAACUUCAUCCUACAUUGCAGGUGUCUGAAGGUGGUGACGUAUGGGACUGGUACGUGCACAUGAGAGAAUUUGUGUGCAAGUGUGCGAGCCAGCAAGCGAGCUAGAGCAACACCCUGACGUCAGCUGCACCCAAGUGUAAGGAGAAACAUCUAUUAGACACUCAGUGUGACAGAAAAGCUCCAAAGACACCACUACAGCAGAAUAACAGAGCCCCAAAAUGGUGCACCAGUGAACAGGGCACAGUUUUGGACACAGGUCAAGACUGUUUGAUUGGACCAUCUCAUGUUUAGUGCAGGCCAAGCUGGCCACAACUACGAGGAUUUUGCCAGAUGCUUUCUUUUCUGUUCUGUUCAAAUGUCCUUCAGAAAACAAGUAGUUACAUGCUCUACAUGCUGUGAUGUUUCUUUGAAGCAUUUAGGAGCUAGUAAAUGAGACAUCUGUUUGUGUUUGCCAGGGAAUAUCACUGUUUUCCAUGGGUGUUUUUGCAUAGCCCUGUUUUGAAAGUCAUCUGACCUUGCAGGCCACACUAAAACAACGGUCUGGGGUUGGUUGUUCUACCUGUCAGUCAGACCCCUUCCUGUCAAAGUAGACAAUCCUUCGCCAUGUUAAGCAAUAAUCCACACACAACUGUCCAACAAUAGGCAGAGACCGGGUUUGCAAGACUGCCGCUGUGGUAGGCUACCAUUCAGUCUUGGUUUGGCUAAAAAACUAUGUAAAGGUUACAACCCUUUGACGGAGAGCAAGGAGACAACCUGUACUGAGCAUGAAGCAACUGUCCUGAACAUGUGCAAAAAAAACUGUCCUAGACAUCCAUCAAACAAGAAUUCUAAAAGCUAGAUGUUCUCCAGAGCAGCAAGAAAAUUGCUUUUUUAUUUUGAGAAGGCUGUGUUUGAGUGUUUUGUGCAUUCUAGACGCAAAAAAAUCCAAUUAAAAAUGUUCCCUUCUGUGUUUGGGAAAGCACAGUUCAAGGCUUCAGGUUCAAAUGGGCAACAGCAGCAUUUUACAGGAAAAACUAACCAAAAGUGAUCCAAUAUUCUGACCAAACUGACCAAUGCACAUGGUCAUUCAGCAACACAAACAUUUCUUCCACACCAACCAAUCAGUGGCAACAUUUUUGUGGCCUCACACAACGUCAAUAAUUUAAGCAAUUUCUUUAUCAACUCAAAGAAGAUGAACGUCACAAACAUCCGUGCCUGGAAAUAGACAGCCGGCCAGUGAGUGGGAAACGGACGAGGCGGGAAGUGAGCAAGGCUUCCCAAGCUGAAUGUUUUGAUUGGCGCAAUGUGUACAUAUUCAACGACGAGGAGCAAGGCCGGACAAGGGAGUUGAUUCAUCAACAUUCCAAUCUCUUACAUCACCACGCUGUGAGUGAAAACUCUCUGCCUACAGGAAUCAGCCAUUCUAGUAAACAGUGCGCGACAUAUGAAAGAGCACCAGCUCUGUGCACAGUAUGUCAACAAAAUGCACUGCCCUCUGAAUCUCCACUGCAGUGUUUUUCACCACAAUGGUAUUACAGUGUAUGUGUUGUAUUAGAGUCAUGUGCUGUAUAAAUGAUAACAUGCACUUGCAUUUCUUAAAAACCUGUGGAUAUAGCAUGUUACAUUAUAUGUGAAUAGUCAUUUGCAUUGCAACGUCUCUGUAAAUCUCAUACAGCACUGCGCAAAAGUCAGAGACUACACUUAAUUUGUUUAAUUUACAGUCAAAAUGGCUGUUUAUAACAAGCUAUUCAUUUUCAGUGUCAAUAUAAAAAAAAUACCUACUCAAUGUGAAAUGACAAAAACCCCUAAAUAUGUAAACUAAGUGUGAUAUCAGUUUUUCUGUAUUUAGUGUGUUCACCCUUUGCCUUUUUCAUAGCUUCCAUUGUUUUGUGGAGACUUCUCAUUUGUUCAAAGAAAUCUUUGUUUGUUGCAUUUUCUGCUUCUCAUGAUCCAAAUAAUCUCACAUACAUAUUCCGUGAUGUUAAGAUCUGGAUUCCGGGGUGGACAGUCCACUGUUCUUUUUCAUUUUAAAUGUAUUUGAUUUGCAAAUGUUCUUUUUACUUGAAUUUCUUCUUCUUUUUGCAAGUGCAAUAUCUUACAGCUACUCUAUUUGAAAAUAACUCCUGAAAGAACAACUUUUUAUUUUGAUUAAAUGGUGGGGUAGGGGCUCUGAUUUUUUGCACAGUACUGCAACAUCAUCUAACACAGGUGUGUUAUUAGCACAGUUCUUUUUGUUGCUGCUGCAACCACAAUGACAUUCAGGAUAAAAAGCUUUUCUCUGUAUCAGAGCUUCACAGCUAGUUCUAUUUCUGUAUAGUUUUAAAGGCAUAAAUUUAAUUUGUUUGUGAUUCCAUGUGAAGCCUGCUUUGCAUGUGUAAGUGACAGAACCUAGAGGCUUGUUUUCGUAGAAAGGUGUGUCAGUGAAGUAACUCCAGUAUAUAAGUGUGAUAGAGUCUGCUUGCAGGCCCAAACCUGUCCAGGAAGGGAGAAGAAACCACCAGACAGCAAUGCCAGAUAGCACACACCUCCAAAUUAUCCCAUGUACUAAAUACAUGCUCACCAUAUACAAACAGCCGACAUCUCCAGAGGUUCAUGCAGACACAAACACACAGUAUAAACCAUCAAAUGCUCGUUUCCUCGUCUUGUUUGUCUAUAACGACACAUUCCUGUGGCCUAAUAGCUGCUUACUGCACUGCUAAAACACUGCUGUAAUGUUGAGUGAGGGUUCUACACUCAACAUUAAAGCAGAGACGCUGCUGCUGGUGCAGUAGGCCGGGGUUCAGCUUCGCUAUAAAUACAUUCUGCUGUGUGGUGUGGAACUGGACCCCCAUGAAGGAGGAGCAAUUCAGAGGGGGUGCUAAUGUGUAGGGGUGGGUAACGGCAGUCCCUCUCUGGUCAACAGUCUGACACUCCACACCUUCAUAGGUCAGGGGCCCUGUUAGUAAGAUAAGACUUUGCGCAUUAAAUCAACACGUGAUUGUUAAUGUGAGCCAAACGCAACCAGGGAAAUGUGGCUUUCAGUUUUACGAUGGACAGGCUACAAACACAAUUUUAACGUAAGUGUCACCCACCUAAAAUAAGAAUAAAGACAAUUUCAACAACCUAGAUGAGCAUCUAAAUGUCAAUGUCUUUUGAAGAGUGGAUUUACAUUUAUAAAUGCAAGCCCCAUGUAGAGUAGCAUGUGGGAAACAUUUACAGAAAUGAACUAAACCAUCUUCAGGCACACUUCUCUAAUCUGCACUGUAAGAACAAAAGUUCAUAUAGUCAUAAAUGUAUGAACUUAAAAUCCAAUUCACCAACUAGAUACACUAGAAAACAGUCAUAUCUCCAAAAUAGUAACUUUACAAGAAGAUUAAAAAAAGUUCUUAACUUCAUUGCACACACAAAAAAAAUAGUUAAAAGUAAUUUCAGACCAUUUUCAUUGGUCCAUGUGUUAUGAAAUCUUCAAUAUAGGCAGCUGGUGCUUUUAAAACAGAAUAAAAAAUGGAAAAUGAAAAAUCUGACUCACUAAAGAUAUGACAGCGAUGAAAAAUUUGGAGUUACCUACCACAAAAGCACUAAACUGGUACAAGAGGUGGAGCAGAACGAAUACGAUGCCUGGCAUCAAAAAUACCUAGACGUUCAGUCAGUGGUCUUAAGAGGGGCUUUAUAUUAUAAUGCAGUUUGACAUAUGGGGAUGGAGCAGGUGCUGUUAUGGAUUGGGAGUGUUAAGACCUGAUGGCUCCCCUUGGCAUCCUUCAAAAACCCCACAGCCGCACUGGUGGAGAUCCAUCACCCAUCGCCCAGCACCCCCUUCUCUGCUCUCUCUCGCUGGGCCACCCAGUCCUUCCAAGGCAUGGGGCUGCUGGAGCUAGUCUUUCCCAGCCUUGCCCGGAAACAGUGUUCUAAUCUGGGCCUGUUGCUGCCCAUCCCUCUCCCUCCCUCACACACACACCACGAGACACACACUGACACACAGAAUGUCUCUCAAAGUCCCCAAAGAGUCUUCAGGGCCCCAGUUCUCAGCAGGAGAGAAGAAGCCACAGCAGAACUCAGCAGAAAAGGCAUUAUGCUAAUAGAAGAUGCAGAAAAUGUACGUACCACACACAUACACUCCCUGAAAAAACACAGAGGUACACGUCCCCGUGAUCAAGUCUUAGAGAGAUGGCAGUACAAAUUCUUCUGCAGAUUGUUUGGGCUUGAGAGCACAUACCACAGCUCAGUGCAUAACAGAUGACGUAGUGCAAAUGAACACAGAAAUGUGUGAGAAAUCACAUCUGAGAGCAGACUUUCUGAAGGAAAGGCCACCAAGUUGAGUCUGACAUACAGCAAGAAGCAGUGAGACUCAAAAUUCAGGGCCGUCACUGCAGAUUUGAUAAGUAACUGAGUAUUUAAACAUCUAUUUUAAUGUUUAACCAAGCGAUCUGAGGGCAAACAACAAACAUGAGCUUGACUGAUCAAUACCAAAUCAAAACACUUCACUUGUAAACAGAUAAUGUAGAAAGUCUAUAAAAAGACUGCAUUAAACAAAUAUACUUUGCCAGUAUGUGUCCAGUAUGUGUCUAUAUAUUCAAGAUUCAAGAGUUCUAUUGUCAUAUGUACAGCAGAACAGACAGUUAUCCUGCACAAUGAAAUUCUGACUUUGCUGUUCCUCCAUUCACCAAAUAUAAUCUUAAUAUAAUCUUAUAAGAAAACAGAAAAAAAAAUAGAAAAUAUAAGAAUAACACUAAAACAAUAGUAAAAAAGUACAGUUAUAUGUGCAAAGUUAUAUAAACAGAAUUUAUAAUACACAAAUAUAAAUGGAAGUGCUCAUACUGUUUCUUACUGUAAGAGAAAUCAGAAGGAGCAGGGGUCGUCAUUGCCUAUUGCAUGCUGCCCCAGGUCACUACAUCUGUGGCUACUAAAAAAAAGCAGAGUCUGUUUACUUGACUUUUUUCCUUUUAUCAAAUCAAAUCAGACAGGUUAUAUUUUCACACAUUCACAUGUUUCCACCAUUAAUAACAAAACCAACUAUUUUUCACUCAUAGAUCCAGACCCUGUAUGGUCAGACACAGAACUAAGUGCAUCAAAUUAUGGAAUUCAUCCAGCUGCAGAGUUAACAUCCACGAUUACUAAUGUGACAACUUCUAUAAGCCCUUCACAGUUCUUUGUGACCUAUCGCUUUGGCUUGGUUAAUAAAAUCCAGCUUUACUGUUAGUGGCAGUCCUGACAAUAAAGAAAAUAAAUUAUGAUUGUUUCAAGGUGGGGGAAAAAAAGAAAGUUCAAUGCGGAAUGGAAUGUGUAUGGCUGGAGAAUGUGUGAAAUGUGUGAAAUAUUGUGAAAAACGUGAUUGCUUCACAUUAUUCUGUGGUUUCAUUAGUACAAUUUCAAUAUGGAGUGGAAGUGGGGGGCUCACAGCAACACUUGGUUUUAGUACUUAAGAAUAAUAAAUGAUAAACUGGCCUAUAAUCUACAUUUUUCUAGUAUUUUAUUUUUGCCCUGAGGACUGCUUAUAAUGGGGGAGUACAAUCUUAUCCAUAAAAGGCUGGCGUGGUGCAGGUUUUCAGUGCAACAAAGCAGGAGCAUACUUGAUUAGUUGUUUGAAGACUGAGACUGACUGAUUAAAAGAAAGGAAUCAGCUGUGCUCUGGUUGUCUGAACCAAAAACCUGCAUCCACAUCAGCCCUUUGUGGAUAAGACUAGAUAACCCCCAACUUAUAACAUGUGGGUUUACGUACCAGUCAUAAUUCAUCCUCACCUGACCGCUUCCAAUAUUACGUGUUAGACUGCUUUUGUUACUGUGCCAGACAAACAUAUGUAAACUCCUCUUCUGAUAACUGUUUUGUAUUGUGCCUCACUGAAAAAGCAGUUUGUGCUGAAACACACCUUAUAACUUUGGUGUGUAAGGUUGAGGCUUAAAUGCUGUAGGUGAAGUAGAUGAAUGUGUAUAGAUGGUUUGUUUUUUUGUGAUGGGCUGUUUUUGCAACUUGCUAAAUAUGGAUGAUAUGGACUGGGGAGUGAAUGGUACGUUUUGAAACUAAAAUG